UUAAGUACAUAGGAGGGUACUCAACUUUGCUAAAAGUUCCAGUUAAGGUACUGAACUUUCAAAAGUUCCAGUUAAGGUACUGAAAUUGGAUGGCCGUUACUUUUGGGUGAAUUUCUGUCAAAUGCACCGUUUGGUACAUUUUCCUAGGCGCGUGUGCAACACGAAACGCCACCUAAUGAUUACUUUUAAUGAGGCGGUUUAUUUCGCGGGUAUUUAUCUCAACUCUCUGUAUUCAUUGUCUUUAUUUACUUUCCUUCUCUCACUGUUCAUAUUUACUUUCCUUCUUUCACUCUCCUUAUUCAAAUCACUGCAACUCUUUGUCCUCUUCAUUUACGCCAUUUAUAAUCAUAGUAUGUGGCCAACACCAAAACCUCCAAAAUUCCCAAGAAUUACAGAGACUUCAGAAGAAGGUAUGGAAGCUUUUACCCAUGCACACCCUCUUUGUUCGAAUCAAGAUAUCCUAGUGACCCACAUUUUCUCUAGGGUAAGGUGGGAGGAUCAGUACAAGCUUGAGCUGACUUGUAAGAAAUGGAGGCUUUGGUGGAGACUCAGAACUUAUGGGAGUAGUCAUUAUUUCUGGCUUAAUGAUCGUAGGCACAUUGAGAAGUGGAUAAUAGAUGAUAUUAUCUACAACAAUGGGAGGACCUCCAUGCUUGGAUCAACAAGGACAUGACUCAGUACUUUGAUGGGUUUCCAUGGUUGUUCAAAGAGGAUUGAAGAUGAAGGAUGUUGGUGUUUUUUUUUUUGGGUUGGGUUAGGUUUGUUUUGCCUCUGUCAUAGCAGUAGGAGGGGUAGAAUGUGACAGCCACUGGCUUUAUUUAGGGUGGUUGUCACUGCUAUGACAGAUUUGUUUUGUUGUUUAUGAAUGCAAGCUCCAAAAAAACUUUAAUAUGUUCUGUAAUUGGUUGGAGCUUGCCAAUUUUUGUACUUGUUAGUAUAUAAAUAUAUAUGAAUGGUUUUAUGGAUCCUACAA